GCUGAUUAGCUACGUUCGGAUCGGAUAACCGCUGAAAGCAUCUAAGCGGGAAGCCGUUCUCGAGAUGAGACUUCCAUCCCUUCGGGGGAGAGGCUCCCAGCCAGACGACUGGGUUGAUAGGCAGGACGUGGAAGUGGGGACUAAAGACCCAUGCAGCUGACCUGUACUAAUAAGCCGACAACUUGAUUGC
rnacentral:rRNA from 1 species